GAUCUAUAGUUUAAAAAUAAGUACUUAUAUUUCACUGAAAGUCACUCUUUAAGUGAUUAUGUCUUAUUUUAACUAUGAUGAGAUAUUUUGACUAGAAAUGAGAAAAAUACACGUGGUAAGAUUUUGGUUUUUGCAGUGUUCAAAACCUCUGAUGAACAGAAUC